rnacentral:rRNA from 1 species
UACAGAGGGUGCAAGCGUUGUUCGGAAUUAUUGGGCGUAAAGCGCGUGUAGGCGGCUUUGCAAGUCGGGUGUGAAAGCCCUCAGCUCAACUGAGGAAGUGCGCCCGAAACUGCAGAGGCUUGAGUACCGGAGAGGAUGGCGGAAUUCCCGAAGUAGAGGUGAAAUUCGUAGAUAUCGGGAGGAACACCGGGUGGCGAAGGCGGCCAUCUGGACAGUGACUGACGCUGAGACGCGAAAGCGUGGGGAGCAAACAGGG